UACGGAGGGGGCUAGCGUUGUUCGGAUUUACUGGGCGUAAAGGGCGCGUAGGCGGCCACCGCAAGUCGACUGUGAAAUCUCCGGGCUUAACUCGGAAAGGUCAGCCGAUACUGCGGGGCUAGAGUGCAGAAGGGGCAACUGGAAUUCUCGGUGUAGCGGUGAAAUGCGUAGAUAUCGUGAGGAACACCAGAGGCGAAGGCGGCUACCUGGACAAUUGCUGACGCUCAGGCACGAAAGCGUGGGGAGCAAAAGGG
rnacentral:rRNA from 1 species